GAUUAUGGCUCAGGACAAACGCUGGCGGCGUGCCUAACACAUGCAAGUCGAACGAAGCACUGUGGAAAGAGACUUCGGUCAAUUGAAACUUUGACUUAGUGGCGGACGGGUGAGUAAUGCAUGAGCAACCUGCCCUGGAGAGGGGGACAACAGCUGGAAACGGCUGCUAAUACCGCAUGAUGUUGCGGGAAGGCAUCUUCCUGCAACCAAAGAUUUAUCGCUCUGGGAUGGGCUCAUGUCUGAUUAGAUAGUUGGCGGGGUAACGGCCCACCAAGUCUGCGAUCAGUAGCCGGACUGAGAGGUUGAACGGCCACAUUGGGACUGAGAUACGGCCCAGACUCCUACGGGAGGCAGCAGGUGGGGAAUAGUUGGGCAAGUGGGCGACAAGCCUGACCCAGCAACGCCGCGUGAAGGAAGAAGGUCGUUUCGGGUUAGUUAAACUUUCUUUUAUCAGGGACGAAGAAAGUGACGGUACCUGAUGAAUAAGCCACGGCUAACUACGUGCCAGCCGCCGC
rnacentral:rRNA from 1 species